rnacentral:rRNA from 1 species
GAUGAACGCUGACCGAAUGCUUAACACAUGCAAGUCGAUGGGGAAGUGGUGCUUGCACCAUGGUAACCAUGGCGGACGGGUGAGUAACGCGUAAGGAACUUACCUGCGGGACCGGGAUAACAGCAGGAAACUGCUGACAAGACCGGAUAAGGUCAUUAAGCUGCAUAGCUUAGUGAUGAAAGGAGACGCCUGCGGAGAGCCUUGCGUCCUAUUAGCUAGUUGGAGGGGUAACGGCCCACCAAGGCGAAGAUAGGUAGCCGGCCUGAGAGGGUGGACGGCCACAAGGGGACUGAGAUACGGCCCUUACUCCUACGGGAGGCAGCAGUGGGGAAUAUUGGACAAUGGGGGCAACCCUGAUCCAGCAAUUCUGUGUGCACGAAGACGGUUUUCGGAGUGUAAAGUGCUUUCAGCAGGGAAGAAGGAAGUGACGGUACCUGCAGAAGAAGCGACGGCUAAAUACGUG